rnacentral:tRNA from 1 species
UCAAAAUGCAAAUUUGAAGAAGCACAUAGAAGGUGCCGGGGCUUCUCCCGUUA